UGGGGAAUAUUGCGCAAUGGGCGAAAGCCUGACGCAGCGACGCCGCGUGAGGGAUGAAGGUCUUCGGAUCGUAAACCUCUGUCAGAAGGGAAGAAAUUCACUCGUGCUAAUCAGCGGGUGAUUGACGGUACCUUCAAAGGAAGCACCGGCUAACUCCGUGCCAGCAGCCGCGGUAAUACGGAGGGUGCGAGCGUUAAUCGGAAUCACUGGGCGUAAAGCGCACGUAGGCUGUUUUGUAAGUCAGGGGUGAAAUCCCACGGCUCAACCGUGGAACUGCCUUUGAUACUGCUGAACUAGAAUCCGGGAGAGGGUGGCGGAAUUCCAGGUGUAGGAGUGAAAUCCGUAGAUAUCUGGAGGAACAUCAGUGGCGAAGGCGGCCACCUGGACCGGUAUUGACGCUGAGGUGCGAAAGCGUGGGGAGCAAACA
rnacentral:rRNA from 1 species